rnacentral:rRNA from 1 species
GCAGCUUGCUGCUUCGCUGACGAGUGGCGGACGGGUGAGUAAUGUCUGGGAAGCUGCCUGAUGGAGGGGGAUAACUACUGGAAACGGUAGCUAAUACCGCAUAAUGUCGCAAGACCAAAGAGGGGGACCUUCGGGCCUCUUGCCAUCGGAUGUGCCCAGAUGGGAUUAGCUUGUUGGUGGGGUAACGGCUCACCAAGGCGACGAUCCCUAGCUGGUCUGAGAGGAUGACCAGCCACACUGGAACUGAGACACGGUCCAGACUCCUACGGGAGGCAGCAGUGGGGAAUAUUGCACAAUGGGCGCAAGCCUGAUGCAGCCAUGCCGCGUGUAUGAAGAAGGCCUUCGGGUUGUAAAGUACUUUCGGCGGGGAGGAAGGGAGUAAAGUUAAUACCUUUGCUCAUUGACGUUACCCGCAGAAGAAGCACCGGCUAACUCCGUGCCAGCAGCCGCGGUAAUACGGAGGGUGCAAGCGUUAAUCGGAAUUACUGGGCGUAAAGCGCACGCAGGCGGUUUGUUAAGUCAGAUGUGAAAUCCCCGGGCUCAACCUGGGAACUGCAUCUGAUACUGGCAAGCUUGAGUCUCGUAGAGGGGGGUAGAAUUCCAGGUGUAGCGGUGAAAUGCGUAGAGAUCUGGAGGAAUACCGGUGGCGAAGGCGGCCCCCUGGACGAAGACUGACGCUCAGGUGCGAAAGCGUGGGGAGCAAACAGGAUUAGAUACCCUGGUAGUCCACGCCGUAAACGAUGUCGACUUGGAGGUUGUGCCCUUGAGGCGUGGCUUCCGGAGCUAACGCGUUAAGUCGACCGCCUGGGGAGUACGGCCGCAAGGUUAAAACUCAAAUGAAUUGACGGGGGCCCGCACAAGCGGUGGAGCAUGUGGUUUAAUUCGAUGCAACGCGAAGAACCUUACCUGGUCUUGACAUCCACGGAAGUUUUCAGAGAUGAGAAUGUGCCUUCGGGAACCGUGAGACAGGUGCUGCAUGGCUGUCGUCAGCUCGUGUUGUGAAAUGUUGGGUUAAGUCCCGCAACGAGCGCAACCCUUAUCCUUUGUUGCCAGCGGUCCGGCCGGGAACUCAAAGGAGACUGCCAGUGAUAAACUGGAGGAAGGUGGGGAUGACGUCAAGUCAUCAUGGCCCUUACGACCAGGGCUACACACGUGCUACAAUGGCGCAUACAAAGAGAAGCGACCUCGCGAGAGCAAGCGGACCUCAUAAAGUGCGUCGUAGUCCGGAUUGGAGUCUGCAACUCGACUCCAUGAAGUCGGAAUCGCUAGUAAUCGUGGAUCAGAAUGCCACGGUGAAUACGUUCCCGGGCCUUGUACACACCGCCCGUCACACCAUGGGAGUGGGUUGCAAAAGAAGUAGGUAGCUUAACCUUCGGGAGGGCGCUUACCACUUUGUGAUUCAUGACUGGGGUGAAGUCGUAACAAGGUA